rnacentral:rRNA from 1 species
CAAAGCCGUGAGGUGGAGCUAAUCUCAGAAAACUAUUCUUAGUUCGGAUUGUACUCUGCAACUCGAGUACAUGAAGUUGGAAUCGCUAGUAAUCGCGAAUCAGCAAUGUCGCGGUGAAUACGUUCUCGGGUCUUGUACACACCGCCCGUCACACCACGAGAGUUGGUUGCACCUGAAGUAGCAGGCCUAACCGCAAGGAGGGAUGCUCCGAGGGUGUGAUUAGCGAUUGGGGUGAAGUCGUAACAAGGUAUCCGUACGGGAACGU